CUAUACUAUAACUAAUAAAAUACAAAAUAAUUCGAAAAAAUGGAAUUAUAUGAAAAUUCACUUUGUGAGUAUGCUAAUAACCUAAUCUAUCAAACAUUUUAUUAUGGUUAUAUUUGAAGAUAACAAUGCAAAUAUUGCUGUACAACAUUUGUAACGGUACGUGAUAAUCGAUGAAUAAUAUUAUUAUGAUGUCAGAUUCGGAAAAAUUAUUUUGUCAGAAUCAGUUGACAUUUUAAAGAUACUUGAAGAAAUGAUCAAUGUUUGUCGAUACUGAAUUUUCUUGUGGUAAUAAAUAUAAUCGAUUAAAGCUUAAAUAAUUUAAUCACUUUAUUCGGGAGUAAAUGAUUUAUAGUAGUUUGUUAUUUAUUAGUAAUAGCAUAAAGGGAGUAUAUAUAUAUAUAUAUAUAUAUAUAUAUAUAUAUACUCCUCUUCUAUCUUAACUAAUAAAUAAUGAAGUAAUUUGAACGUUCCAAAUCACUAUUAUGAUUUGCAACUGUAUAAUAUACUAUUUUGAUGAGUUUAUAACUUUAAUUCAGAGUAGGAAAAUCUACUCUUUUAUAAUGAAUACGAGACGAAGACAUUGAAGACCACGUGACUAAGUGAUGUCCCUAAUGAAAAAAUAUAUAUCUCUGCAAAAUAGUUAAUACGUGACUUAUAUCUUUAGUAUUAUCAUAUAUAUGCUAUUAUGCCGGCAGGUAUUCCUGGACAUAUAUUUUUUCGUGUGAGGUAUGUCCUACUACUCAAAAUUACUGCCAUUUCCUUACGUUUAUCAUAGCUAAUGUUAAAUACUAUUUACGCAUGGGAUGAAGAAUUAUAAAAGCUCUAUAUUUGUCAAUUAAUAUUGAAUUAAUAAACUUUCAAUAUCACAGUAAUUCAUUAUUUGAAGUUUUAUGUAAUUCAACUCACUGUAUACUUAUAAUUAUUGUUAUUAUCUAUUCAUGGCUCACAAUCUCAUUCAAACCUACGGUCUUGUUUGGCGCCUCUAUGUACUUUUUUAGCCUUAAUAUUCGUAACAAUCAUGACGUCCGCAGCAUAUUAAAACAAUUGCCCAUUAUUCCCGACCAUUGAAUACUGGUUAGACAAUUGAUUAAAGAAAGUGGCAUAAAUCAUUAUACGUGUGUUUGAAAUUGAAUACAUUACAACUUUUUUUAUGUUACAAUUAAUUUAUUGCGUUAAUUAUGUUUGUAGUCUUAUUAAGAUUUUUGAACCGGUUCCAAAAGAUAAAGCAACUGUUCUAUGUAUAUUAUUUCAUUUAUGUCAUGCGCUGACGAUUUAAAAAUGAAGGCGUCAAAUAAAAUUCAGUCGUUGGUAUUUAUUAAAUUCAUAAUUAACUAAAAAAUAAUAAUUUUUUGGCCCAUUCAUUAGUUUUUAUUUCUUACCAUCUUGUUUAUUUUUUCACGACAGAAUUAUAUUCAAAUGCGUCUAGUAGUUCGGUAGAGUAGUUUCGCAAUCAGCGCUGCAAAACAUUUAUGAUUUCUGAAACUGAACGUUAAUGAUUCUAACGUUUUAUUUUAACUGCUCAUUUUUGUAAUCGUGAUGGAUUUUUUCUAAAAAAAGACUUUAUGAGAGCAAUAAAACCUCUCGGCGCUUUCAACUCUUUUAUUUUGCCAAAAUCUUUAUCAUGUAAGAAAUAAAUUAGGUCUCAUAGCAGUCUGUUGUGAUAAAGAAGCUAACAAAUGGAGAUUCGCAAAGUUCGUUACAGAACCAUAGACAAAACAGGAUCAUAAAGUACCUCAGUAACAACAUCUGUUCAAAUUUACUCUACUGUUGAAAACUGAGUGAGCUCGUAAAACUGCGAAAACAUAUCGCUUAAAUUUGGAACCGAGUCCUUGAACCGCCUGGCGUUCAUUUUGAGAUAUUCAGAGAUGAUUUAUAUUAACGUAAAACCUGAUAGUAUUUUCUGAUACUACGAAUAGAUAAUAGUCUACCAACAAAAUGUCAUCGACGGUUGGGACUCAUGAUAAGAUACUGUUGUUUGUUUUGUUCAUAUAUAACCUAUGACUCCAAUUGAUAAGAAAAACGGAAUAGGGCUUUUCUCUUAUCGAAUAAUGUGAACCGCUCGCAAUAACAUGUGCUGAUUGGACGACAAAUGCAGAUAACAGAUAUCAAAAUUUGGAAUUUUCAACUUGUUAUUACGUCAAAUAAAUAGUGCGCAUAUCUAAAAGUUUUUGAAAAUUCGAUAUUUUCAUGAGUUCUCUCAAUGGAUAAAAUAACGCAACCAACUAAUACUUUUGCAAAACUAUUAUUAAAAAUGAUGUCAUUUCCGCCCACACCUAGUUCUGGUUUUAACACAAACAUGUUUAUGUCGGGUCGUAAAAAUGUAAGUGAUACUACUCACAUUACACAAACGAUUUUUCACUCUUAUUAUGAUUCUGAGUUAUAAUGGAAGUAAAAUAACUCAGUAAGUCAAUGAACGUUAGUUGAACUCAUAAGGUCUUAAAUUAUAAAUAAUUGUGUCAAUGAUACUCGACACAAUAGUCCUAUAGAUUGGUUGAUAGUCUAAAUGUUUAUUCUCUAUAUAUUUCUGGCAAUUCAUUUUCAUAGGGAACCGUAUAUUAUACGAUUUCCAGUACUACCUAAUGGAAUUGAGGUGAAUAAACUUAGUGACGAGCAUGGUUUGAGUAUUGACUAAUACAAUAUUUUUAGAUAGAACAUUGCAUCUGUGAAUAUUAAUUUGUAAACUAUCGGGAUUCGAGGAUUUUUGAAUUCAAAGAACUAUAAGGAUAUCAUUUUAUUAAAUGAACCACAAACAAGGAUAAAGUGUUCUCGGAAAAGGCAUAAGGAUACCUAGGAGACCACCAAGUUCAAAAAUCGCAAAACCUGAAAUCUCAUGGAGAAGUGAACAAACUAUUCAAAGAGAUGGACAAAAGAAACUUUUACGUCGCAAUACUAUUUAAAAUGAAACAGCCGUCAAUUAUCAUUAAGUUUAAUUACCUGAAAAAUUAUUUCGGUCACAGUUUUUUUUUACCCACAAUGUAUUAAAUGUAAGGUUCUAUAACUACCACAAUCUAUGUACAUUUGUCAUGACCGAUUGCUGAAAGUAAAAGAUUUAUU